UACGUAGGGGGCGAGCGUUGUCCGGAAUUAUUGGGCGUAAAGGGCGCGUAGGCGGCCAUUCAAGUGACGGGUGAAAGCCCUCGGCUUAACCGAGGAACUGCCUGUCAGACUGGAUGGCUUGAGACCGGGAGAGGUGAGUGGAAUUCCCAGUGUAGCGGUGAAAUGCGUAGAUAUUGGGAGGAACACCAGUGGCGAAGGCGGCUCACUGGACCGGACUGACGCUGAGGCGCGAAAGCGUGGGGAGCAAACAGG
rnacentral:rRNA from 1 species